UACGUAGGGUGCGAGCGUUGUCCGGAAUUACUGGGCGUAAAGAGCUCGUAGGUGGUUUGUCGCGUUGUUCGUGAAAUUCCCUGGCUUAACUGGGGGCGUGCGGGCGAUACGGGCAGACUGGAGUACUGCAGGGGAGACUGGAAUUCCUGGUGUAGCGGUGGAAUGCGCAGAUAUCAGGAGGAACACCGGUGGCGAAGGCGGGUCUCUGGGCAGUAACUGACGCUGAGGAGCAAAAGCGUGGGGAGCGAACAGG
rnacentral:rRNA from 1 species